AAAUAUAAACAAGUUUUGGCUAAGAUUAAUAAUUUGACAUUACUAACUACAACAGUUUUAACAUUAACUUAUUAAUAUCAAAAUAUAGGUUGUUUUUGUUUAUAUAUCCUUAUUAUUCUACUUGAAUGUAAAAAAUGGGAACAUUAGUAGAACCUUGUUUGUUAUUUUUGAGGAAUAUAAAAUCAAAUACUCUGCAAUGGGCAGCCCAGAGACCUGUUUUAGCCCUUGUAAUUGUUAUUAUUAUAACGGGAAGUAUAUUGCCAUUCAUCAGUGCCCUAUCAUUACUUCCUGUAGUAGCUAUAUUUAAUAUCGGACAUUUUUUAGAAUCAAAAGGAAUAUUUACAAUCUUCAGUGCUAUAUUUGGCCAGGGAAUGUUCUUAGUUGUUGUGUUAUGUAUAUUAUUUACCGUAUCAUUUUUAACAGUGACAAGUGCAAAUUUAUUUCACUCCUAUCGCUCUAAAAGAAAAAAUUGAAUAUAUUAAUGACAUUAGACUUAACUUAAAAAUACCAAAAUGUUAUUUUUUAGUGUUGUCUUCAUCGUCAAUAAUCAACUGCCACAAAGCUUGAGUUAUUUCGUCUUGACUUAACUUUUCAGGAUCCAACUUAAAAUAUUUCAAUCUCUCAUUAGACACCACUAGUUUACAUUAAGAAAAUUAUAUAUAAGUUGAUAUAGAACUAGAUUAUAACAAAAAAGGAUA